AAGGAUGAAAUUCGUUCCGCCAUGCGAAAGCGUGGCGAAAUCACUCUCGAAUGCGAGGUCCGGGGAUCUUCCCCGGGCGCGGGCACGCUGUUGGGUUCUGAGGGUGCGGGCGUGCACCCGGAUGAAGCUUGAGAACUGCAUAGUGGGUGCGAGCAUCGUGUAGU
rnacentral:misc_RNA from 1 species